rnacentral:rRNA from 1 species
UACGUAGGGGGCAAGCGUUGUCCGGAUUUAUUGGGCGUAAAGAGCGUGUAGGCGGUCCGGUAAGUCGGCUGUGAAAGUCCAGGGCUCAACCCUGGGAUGCCGACCGAUACUGUCGGACUAGAGUUCGGAAGAGGCGAGUGGAAUUCCCGGUGUAGCGGUGAAAUGCGCAGAUAUCGGGAGGAACACCAAUGGCGAAGGCAGCUCGCUGGGACGUUACUGACGCUGAGACGCGAAAGCGUGGGGAGCAAACAGG